rnacentral:rRNA from 1 species
UACGUAGGUGGCAAGCGUUGUCCGGAUUUACUGGGCGUAAAGAGCGCGCAGGCGGUCGUCCAAGUCGCGUGUGAAAUCCCUGGGCUCAACCCAGGAACUGCGUCCGAAACUGGCAGGCUCGAAUCCGGGAGAGGGAUGUGGAAUUCCAGGUGUAGCGGUGAAAUGCGUAGAUAUCUGGAGGAACACCGGUGGCGAAGGCGGCCUGCUGGGCAGUAGCUGACGGCUGAGGCGCGACAGCGUGGGGAGCAAACAGG